GAUGAAGAACGCAGCGAAAUGCGAUAAGUAAUGUGAAUUGCAGAAUUCAGUGAAUCAUCGAAUCUUUGAACGCACAUUGCGCCCGCCAGUAUUCUGGCGGGCAUGCCUGUUCGAGCGUCAUUACAACCCUCAGGCCCCCGGGCCUGGCGUUGGGGAUCGGCGGAAGCCCCCUGCGGGCACAACGCCGUCCCCCAAAUACAGUGGCGGUCCCGCCGCAGCUUCCAUUGCGUAGUAGCUAACACCUCGCAACUGGAGAGCGGCGCGGCCACGCCGUAAAACACCCAACUUCUGAAUGUUGACCUCGAAUCAGGUAGGAAUACCCGCUGAACUUAAGCAUAUCAAUAAGGAGGA
rnacentral:misc_RNA from 1 species